CCUACGGGAGGCAGCAGUGGGGAAUAUUGCACAAUGGGGGAAACCCUGAUGCAGCGACGCCGCGUGAGCGAUGAAGUAUUUCUGUAUGUAAAGCCCUAUCAGCAGGGAAGAAAAUGACGGUAUCUGACGAAUCAGCCACGGCUACCUACGUCCCAGCCGCCGCGGUAAUACGUAGGUGGCAAGCGUUGUCCGGAUUUACUGGGUGUAAAGUGCGUGUAGUCGGGUUGACAAGUCAGAUGUGAAAUCCUGCGGCUUAACCGCAGAACUGCCUUUGACACUGUUGAUCUUGAGUACUGGAGAGGCAGACGGAAGUCCUAGUGGAGCGGUGAAAUGCGUAGAUAUUAAGAGGAACACCAGUGGCGAAGGCGGUCUGCUGGACAGCAACUGACGGUGAGGCGCGAAAGCGUGGGGAGCAAACAGGAUUAGAUACCCUUGUAGUC
rnacentral:rRNA from 1 species